rnacentral:rRNA from 1 species
AUUGAACGCUGGCGGCAGGCCUAACACAUGCAAGUCGAACGGUAACAGGAAGCAGCUUGCUGCUUUGCUGACGAGUGGCGGACGGGUGAGUAAUGUCUGGGAAACUUCCUGAUGGAGGGGGAUAACUACUGGAAACGGUAGCUAAUACCGCAUAACGUCGCAAGACCAAAGAGGGGGACCUUCGGGCCUCUUGCCAUCGGAUGUGCCCAGAUGGGAUUAGCUAGUAGGUGGGGUAACGGCUCACCUAGGCGACGAUCCCUAGCUGGUCUGAGAGGAUGACCAGCCACACUGGAACUGAGACACGGUCCAGACUCCUACGGGAGGCAGCAGUGGGGAAUAUUGCACAAUGGGCGCAAGCCUGAUGCAGCCAUGCCGCGUGUAUGAAGAAGGCCUUCGGGUUGUAAAGUACUUUCAGCGGGGAGGAAGGGAGUAAAGUUAAUACCUUUGCUCAUUGACGUUACCCGCAGAAGAAGCACCGGCUAACUCCGU